AGACUCAGAAUGCCAGAAAUCAGUCCUUGGAAGAUAAUCAUGUUUGCUACUGAAAUGUUUAUGACACAGUGAACGAAACAUGGUGUGACUAAUCAGCUGAGAGCUUGGAUCUUGGCUUGGUUUGCAUGCAAAUUCCCUGGUCUGAGAGAUUAAUAAGUUCCUUGCAGUUGACAAACUGGGACUACAGUGUUUUCUGGCUAACUGUGAUAAUACAACCAGAGCCCACCACCAAGUGACCCCUGGUUCUCUGAGUCUGCAGUGCUUCUGUACUCAGGCCACAGCCCAUUGCAUUAUUCAUUGUUGUACGUUUCUCCGUGUCCUAUUUCAUUAUCCUUGGAGCCUAGUGUGAUCAGUAAGUGUCUGUUGAACUAACUAGGACUACACGGGACAACUAUGACGUAUGAGGUCUCUUCCGUGUAGGGAAGGUAGUUACUCUUACUGUUUCUAUGAUAAAGUCUAGCUCUAAUUUAUUAAGAAUUGUCAGGAAGAGAAAUGUGCUGCCGUUU
rnacentral:lncRNA from 1 species